CCCGUGGAGCUUUACUGCAGCCUGAUAUUGAAUGUUGGUACAGCUUGUACAGGAUAGGUAGGAGCCUUGGAAACCGGAGCGCCAGCUUCGGUGGAGGCAUCGGUGGGAUACUACCCUGGCUGUAUUGACCUUCUAACCCGCUGCCCUUAUCGGGCAGGGAGACAGUGUCAGGUGGGCAGUUUGACUGGGGCGGUCGCCUCCUAAAAGGUAACGGAGGCGCCCAAAGGUUCCCUCAGAAUGGUUGGAAAUCAUUCGCAGAGUGUA
rnacentral:rRNA from 1 species